rnacentral:rRNA from 1 species
AUUGAACGCUGGCGGCAGGCCUAACACAUGCAAGUCGAACGAGUGGCGGACGGGUGAGUAAUGUCUGGGAAACUGCCUGAUGGAGGGGGAUAACUACUGGAAACGGUAGCUAAUACCGCAUACCAUCAGAUGUGCCCCGAGGGGGUUAGCUUGUUGGUUGGGUAAAGGCCUACCAAGGCGACGAUCCGUCACUGGUCUGGUAGGAUGAUCAGUCACACUGGAACUGAGACACGGUCCGUACUCCUACGGGAGGCAGCGGGGGGGAAUAUUGGACAAUGGGCGAAAGCCUGAUCAGGCCAUGCCGCGUAUGUGAAGAAGGUCUUCUGAUUGUAAAGCACUUUAAGUUGGGAGGCGUUACCAACAGAAUAAGCACCGGCUAACUUCGUGCCAGCCGCCGCGGUAAUAC